rnacentral:lncRNA from 10 species
AAAUUUCCUUACUGAUAUAGCAGUUAAGAAGAAAUCACAUGGCGCAGAUCAACUAGAAAGUCUAUUUGCAUAGUAAGACUAAGUUGGGACAACCAGCUUUCCCAGCACGCUACAUAAAUUUCAUACCUUACCUGAUGUGACCAAUCUAUGAGCCCUCUGCAAAUCAGACACUGCCUCCUCAAAAUGGACUAUAAAAUUCGGUGCAUUCACCACUAGCCGGUCCUUUCCCUUGGAGACCCCUCUCUCUACGGAGAGAGCCGUCUCUUUUUCUUCUCUUCUGUUUAUUAAACCUCUGAUCCUAAACUUCUCGCUUGUGUCUGUGUCCUAAAUUUUCUUGGCAUGCAACAAUUACCCAGACAACGUAGCCACUCCAUUACUAUAAUUAAUUAUUUAAUUAAAACUUUCAUAUAUGUCUGAUUAUUUCUUCUGGAUAAAUACCUAAAAGAAGAAUUUCCAGUUCAAAAGUAAAAAAAAAUAUAAGCUUUUUAUUCUUUUUUGCCAAAAUACACUCCAAAGAUUGUUCUAAUCUAAAUUUUAACCAGUAGUUUUUUAAUGUGGCCUGCUUUUAUACACUCUAGCUAAUACUAGUUUUAUUAUUUGGAAUUGUUUUCUUUUCCUUUUAAUACUUCUUCCCAUGUAUUUUAUUAUUUUAUUUUAUUUUAUUUGU